AGGCCUGUAGUGUAGUAGCACAUGAAAUUGCAAAUUUUAAGGAGCAGAGUGUAUCUGCCAGGGCUU
rnacentral:tRNA from 1 species